UGAUGCAGGAUCGACUAUGUCGAAUAAAAUUCUAGGUAGAAUUAUGAUAAUGACAUUGUCUGCCUAUGUGUCUUGACCAAAUUACGUGCCAGCAGUCGCGGUAAUACGUAGAAGACUAGUGUUAUUCAUGUUUAAUCGGUUUAAAGGGUACCUAGACGGUAAAUCAAGCCUAAAAUUAAAUGAAGGGACUAAUUUACUAGAGUUACUUAUGAGGGGGUAUUAAAGUACUGCUGGUGUAGAGAUGAAAUUCUGUCAUACCUCUUUUCAAUAGAAAAACAAUGGCACAGGUAUAGGCGAAAGCAUCCCCUUAUGUGAUAACUGACGUUGAGGGACGAAGGCUUUGUGUAGCGAACAGGAUUAGAUACCCCAGUAGUCAAAGCAGAAAAUGAUGAAUGUCAUAGAUUAGAUAAAUAAGUUUAUUCUAUAAAUGAAAGUGUAAGCAUUCCACCUCAAGAGUAAUUUGGCAACAUUGGAACUGAAAUCAUUAGACCGUUUCUGAAACCAGUAGUGAAGUAUGUUGUUUAAUUUGAUGAUCCGCAAAAAACCUUACCACAAUUUGAAUAUUUAUAUUUUUUUAUUGUUUUCUUUUUAAUUUUCUUCUGAUUUGAUUUUUCUAAAGAAAAAAAGAAAAAGAGGCGAUAUGAUAUAUUUACAAGCGUUGCACGGCUGUCUUCAGUUAAUGUCGCGAGACUUUGGUUAGUUCCAUUAAAUUAACGUAAACCCUUACUUUAUUUUUAUAUAGAGUAGUUCCCCGCUAUAUUGGAUAUGAU
rnacentral:rRNA from 1 species